rnacentral:rRNA from 1 species
ACUCCUACGGGAGGCAGCAGUGGGGAAUAUUGCACAAUGGGCGCAAGCCUGAUGCAGCCAUGCCGCGUGUGUGAAGAAGGCCUUCGGGUUGUAAAGCACUUUCAGCAGUGAGGAAGGCGGAGUCGUUAAUAGCGGCCUCGUUUGACGUUAGCUGCAGAAGAAGCACCGGCUAACUCCGUGCCAGCAGCCGCGGUAAUACGGAGGGUGCGAGCGUUAAUCGGAAUUACUGGGCGUAAAGCGCAUGCAGGUGGUUUGUUAAGUCAGAUGUGAAAGCCCGGGGCUCAACCUCGGAAUAGCAUUUGAAACUGGCAGACUAGAGUACUGUAGAGGGGGGUAGAAUUUCAGGUGUAGCGGUGAAAUGCGUAGAGAUCUGAAGGAAUACCGGUGGACGAAGGCGGCCCCCGUGGACAGAUACUG